rnacentral:rRNA from 1 species
CAGCUCCAAUAGCGUAUAUUAAAGUUGUUGCAGUUAAAAAGCUCGUAGUUGAACCUUGGGCCUGGCUGGCCGGUCCGCCUCACCGCGUGCACUGGUUCGGCCGGGCCUUUCCCUCUGGGGAACCCCGUGCCCUUCACUGGGUGUGGUGGGGAACCAGGACUUUUACUGUGAAAAAAUUAGAGUGUUCAAAGCAGGCCUAUGCUCGAAUACAUCAGCAUGGAAUAAUAGAAUAGGACGUGCGGUUCUAUUUUGUUGGUUUCUAGGACCGCCGUAAUGAUUAAUAGGGACAGUCGGGGGCAUCAGUAUUCAAUUGUCAGAGGUGAAAUUCUUGGAUUUAUUGAAGACUAACUACUGCGAAAGCAUUUGCCAAGGAUGUUUUCAUUAAUCAGGAACGAAAGUUAGGGGAUCGAAGACGAUCAGAUACCGUCGUAGUCUUAACCAUAAACUAUGCCGACUAGGGAUCGGACGAUGUUA